rnacentral:rRNA from 1 species
AAUCUUCGGCAAUGAGCGAAAGCUUGACCGAGCGAUGCCGCGUGCGGGAUGAAGGCCCUCGGGUUGUAAACCGCUGUCAGUUGGGAGGAAGGGUGCGUGAAGAGCGCAUCUUGACCUAUCUUCAGAGGAAGUCCGGGCUAAGUUCGUGCCAGCAGCCGCGGUAACACGAACCGGACAAACGUUAUUCGGAAUUAUUGGGCUUAAAGGGUGUGUAGGCGGCGAUGUAGGUGGGGUGUGAAAUCCCUCGGCUCAACCGAGGAACUGCGCUCCAAACCACAUGGCUAGAGGGAGACAGAGGUAAGCGGAACUGAUGGUGGAGCGGUGAAAUGCGUUGAUAUCAUCAGGAACACCAGUGGCGAAAGCGGCUUACUGGGUCUCUUCUGACGCUGAGACACGAAAGCUAGGGUAGCGAACGGGAUUAGAUACCCCGGUAGUCCUAGCUGUA